rnacentral:rRNA from 1 species
CGGGUAAGACGGGUGCCAGCCGCCGCGGUAAUACCCGCGGCCCAAGUGGUGGUCGAUAUUAUUGAGCCUAAAACGUCCGUAGCCGGUCUUGUAAAUCCUUGGGUAAAUCGACCAGCUCAACUGUUCGAAGUCCGGGGAGACUGCAAGACUUGGGACCGGGAGAGGUGAGAGGUACUUCUGGGGUAGGGGUAAAAUCCUGUAAUCCUAGAAGGACCACCGGUGGCGAAGGCGUCUCACUAGAACGAAUCCGACGGUGAGGGACGAAGCCCUGGGGCGCAAACGGGAUUAGAUACCCCGGUAGUCCAGGGUGUAAACGCUGCGGGCUUGGUGUUGGGGGUCCUUUGAGGGCGCCCAGUGCCGGAGAGAAGUUGUUAAGCCUGCUGCUUGGGGAGUACGUCCGCAAGGAUGAAACUUAAAGGAAUUGGCGGGGGAGCACCGCAACGGGAGGAGCGUGCGGUUCAAUUGGAUUCAACGCCGGACAACUCACCAGGAGCGACGGUUACAUGAAGGCCAGGCUGAUGACCUUGCCUGAUUUUCCGAGAGGUGGUGCAUGGCCGUCGUCAGUUCGUACCGUAAGGCGUUCUCUUAAGUGAGAUAACGAACGAGACCCUCACCAAUAGUUGCUACCGUAUCCCCCGGGGUACGAGCACACUAUCGGGACCGCUGGCGCUAAGUCAGAGGAAGGAGAGGUCAACGGUAG